rnacentral:rRNA from 1 species
UACGAAGGGGGCUAGCGUUGCUCGGAAUCACUGGGCGUAAAGGGUGCGUAGGCGGGUCUUUUAUGUCGGAUGUGAAAGCCCUUGGCUUAACCGAGGAAGUGCAUCCGAAACUGGCGAGCUAGAGUACGAAAGAGGAUCGCGGAAUUCCCGGUGUAGAGGUGAAAUUCGUAGAUAUCGGGAGGAACACCGGUGGCGAAGGCGGCGAUCUGGGUCGAUACUGACGCUGAGGUGCGAAAGCGUGGGGAGCAAACAGG